rnacentral:rRNA from 1 species
AUGGCGUGCACCAUGUGUGGCGCACUUUUGCUCCUUGGCCUCGUCCUGAUCCUGACGCCGCUGCUGUGUGGGUGCACCGGCGGCGGGUUCAGCGUGGAGCUCACCCACCGGGACUCCCCCGGGUCGCCGUUCCACGACGCGUCGCUCACCCCGCAGGCCCGCUGGCUUGCCGCCGUGUGGCGCUCGUACGCCGGCUCAGGUUCAGACUCUCCUGACCCUGACGGCGCGGUGUCGGAGGUGGUGUCAGGCUCGUUCGAGUACUUCAUGCACGUCAACAUCGGCUCGCCGCGCACCCGGAUGCUCGCCCUCGUCGACUCCGGCAGCGACCUCGUGUGGCUCAGGUGCACCAACGGUUCUGCUUCUCCGGCAUCGCCACCGCCGGCAGAAGCCGGCGGACGGAGCAGCGUGUUCGACCUCUCCUCGUCGUCGACCUACGGCCGCGUGGGCUGCCAGUCCGACCCGUGCCGCUCGGUCCCCGGCACCUCCUGCGACGCCGCCUCCUUCUGCCAGUACACCUACUCGUACCUCGACGGCUCCAGCAGCAGCGGCCUCGUGGCCACCGAGACCUUCACCUUCGACGACGCUCCCGGCGGCUGCACGGGGUGCCGCGAGCGCCCGCAGCUGCAGGUGCCCAGAGUCACCUUCGGCUGCGCCACCACCGUCCACUUCGCCGGCAACGGCAUUGUCGGCCUCGCCGACGCGGAAUCCUCCCUCAUCAACCAGAUCGGCGCCGCGACGUCGCUCGGCCGGAGGUUCUCCUACUGCCUGGCGCCCUUCUUCAGCGACGUGUCCUCCGCGCUCAACUUCGGCGCCCGCGCCGCCGUGACGGAGCCGGACGCGGUCACCACGCCGAUGGUGCAGCACUCCUCCGCCGUGGGGGCCUACUACACCGUCGAGAUCGUGGCCCUCAGGGUCGGGAACACGACCGUCAAGCUGCCGAGCCGGUCCCCGGUCAUCGUCGACUCCGGGACGGUGCUGACGUACCUCGACAAGGAGCUGCUGGACCCCAUCGUGGAGGCGCUCGCCCGGAGCAUCAAGCUCCCUCGCAAGCAGUCGCCGAAGCCGGAGUUGUUCUCGCUGUGCUACGAGGCGGGCGGUCUGGAGGUGCUGGACAAGGUGUUCCCGGGCGUUACGUUGGAGCUGGGCGGGGGCGCCUUGGUGACGCUCAAGGCGGAGAACGUGUUCGUGGACCUUCUGCUGCGGACCGUGUGCUUGGCCAUGGCGCCGGUGACGCCUGAGCGGCCGGUGGCGGCGAUCGGCAACAUCAUGCAGCAGAACAUGCACGUCGGCUACGACCUGGACAAGCGCACCAUCACCUUCGCCCCUGCCGACUGCGCAAAAUCUUACCCCUCCCCUCCCGCCUUUGUGUAG